rnacentral:rRNA from 1 species
GACGUAGGGCGCGAGCGUUGUCCGGAUUUAUUGGGCGUAAAGAGCUCGUAGGCGGUUUGUUGCGUCGGCUGUGAAAACUUCACGCUUAACGUGGAGCCUGCAGUCGAUACGGGCAGACUUGAGUUCGGCAGGGAGACUGGAAUUCCUGGUGUAGCGGUGAAAUGCGCAGAUAUCAGGAGGACACCGGUGGCGAAGGCGGGAUCUCUGGCCGAUACUGACGCUGAGGAGCGAAAGCGUGGGGAGCGAACAGG